rnacentral:lncRNA from 1 species
UGAGUGUGAGAGCGAGAACAGCCCCGCAGGUCCCGAGGCGCUGGCUGGGGACAAUGCCGCGGAAAGUUCCCAGUCCCCAGCCGCAGAUCUGCAGAAUUGAAAUGAAAUGUUUUGAGCUCUUCAAGCUGACUCGUCAGAAUCCUGGAGCCUUUUAAAAAAUGACGAAUUGGAAGGAAAAAUUACUUUAUCAAUAACCAGGCUCCACCAGGAUUGACCUAGAUGGUUGUUCCUGGCACUUGUCAUUCUCAGCAAGCACAGCUCAGAGAACAAAUACAAAAGACCCAAAGUGCAUUGCAUCUUUUAUGGAAGUGCCCAAUGUGGAAAUCAUAGAUUUCAAGGAAGGAACAAGAAAAUUGAUGAAACAAGUUCAAAAGAAAGAAGCUUGGCCAAUUUGAUGUCAAUGGAAAUGCGUGAGAUUUUUAUUCAGCAUUCACACCUGAGCAAUGCUUUUGGUCAUGAUGUCAUACUAAGAAGAAACCACCUGAGAUGAGACUGUUAGAUGUUCAGAG